rnacentral:rRNA from 1 species
GAUUAACGCUAGCGGCAGGCCUAAUACAUGCAAGUUGUACGGGAUUAUUGGUAGCAAUACUGAUAUGAGAGUAGCGCACGGGUGCGUAACACGUAUGCAACCUACCUUUAACUGGGGAAUAGCCUUCCGAAAGGAAGAUUAAUACCGCAUAACAUUGCGAAACGACAUCGUUUUGCAAUUAAACCUACGGGGGUUAGAGAUGGGCAUGCGUCCGAUUAGCUAGUUGGCGGGGUAANAGCCCACCAAGGCAACGAUCGGUAGGGGGUCUGAGAGGAUGAUCCCCCACACUGGUACUGAGACACGGACCAGACUCCUACGGGAGGCAGCAGUAAGGAAUAUUGGACAAGUGGGGGCAACCCUGAUCCAGCCAUGCCGCGUGAAGGAUGAAGGCCCUAUGGGUCGUAAACUU